UAUUUUCUUAAAGUGUAAAAGUAUAUAAGUAUGCUGCUAUUAUGGAUAAAGAACAAAGUAUAAAUACAUUGCUUCUAUUGGUAAAGAAAUAGGUCAAGCUUUUUGGAUUAUGAAGGCUGAGUCACGGAUCCAGAUGCAUUAAAAAAGUGAAUAUUCGAUGAGGGAGUGGAACACUUGCGAAAAAGAGGCUUUUAUAUUUUGGUACAAUUUACACAUUUACCCUUUUGGCUAGUUUUAACUAAAUCUGUUAAUGACAUGUUAUUCUAGGUUUGGCCAUUUUUCAUGGGAUCUUAUUCAUAUGAUUCAACAUACACAGAGAGGAGAGGCAGUAUGUUGUCUUAGUUAACAUCAGAGUACAUGACUAUCAAAAACCAGUGACAUGUAAAUGUCUUUUUUGCCCUCCAACUUCUAUCACCCUGACCCACAUAUUAUAUUUAUUGCAAUUUCAUGUUGCAGAGUAUUUACCUGGAAAAUGAUAUUUUUUGGAUACCCCAGGGGACAGACAAUAGUAUUUCGUCCUUUUGAUAUUUCAAAAGUUAUGGUUUUCAUCUAGAUAUUUCAUUUGUUGCACAAGUGGUCAAAAAAGUAUAGUUUUGUUGUAAGGUUUGUACCAACUGCUGAUGGUGUUGCAAAAUGUCCGUGAAGUCCAAGUGAAAUGACUAAAUUGUCCUCGUCUUUUUCUCCUUCAUCAUCUAAACCAAAAAUACCUCACUCAAAUCAACCAAAACCCAAAAUUAAACUACAACUAAAACUAAAUUAAGAUCCAAUGUGCCAAAAAAUUGAGCAUCCUAUCAACUCAUCAAAAUUGACUCUUUGUUUUCUUUCAUGCUUGUUCCUUGCUCUCCGUGAACUUGAUGAGUUGAUCAACAAGCAAAAAAAAAGUAUAAGAUGUUUAAAUACUACAACACUUUUCAUAAAGUUACAAUAUUUCCCUUUUAGAAAAGUUUAAAAUUUAAAAGUACCUAUCUGUCCAUUGAUUUUUAGCCUACACAAAACUUCCAUGAGUUUUACAUACUUCACUGCUUUUCAAAAGUUGUUAACAUCUUGAAUUAUGGUACAAAACUCGUUUGCUUUUACGAUUGAUCUGCAUGGAAAGUUAUGUUCAUAUGUACAUUCAUGGGUUAGUUUUGUUAGUGUAUGUAGUGGGAGUGAUCUUGCAGAUUCCAUACGAUGAACUUGGAACAAGAGGACUAGAGAAAAAUAGUUGUUUGUAGAGAAUGUUAAUCAUUAUUGAAGGUAAACAAAUAAAUGUAAGUAGUUUGCUAUUUAUUGCAAUUGUUGUUAAUCAUGAACAAUAAGAUUCACAUGCUUUCAAGUUUGAAGUUUGAACUACUAGGUUGUAGCAACAUACAAAGGAUUCAAGGAUUGUUUAUGAAGAGAUGGCUAAGAUCAUAAGUGGUUACCUUGUUUUUGUCAGUUUUGUCAAAAAAAUGUUGACAUAGAUGAAGAGAUGGCUAAGAUGAUAGUUUAUGAAAUUGAAUCUUUAUCAGAGAAACUUGAGGUUUUCACUUGUUUGAAUUGUGUCUAUAAUAUCUCUCACCUUCCUGUUUGA